rnacentral:rRNA from 1 species
GACGAACGCUGGCGGCGUGCCUAAUACAUGCAAGUAGAACGCAGUUGCGAACGGGUGAGUAACGCGUAGGUAACUGCCUCAAAGCGGGGGAUAACUAUUGGAAACGUUAGCUAAUACCGCAUACUGUGAGAUGUACCUGCGUUGUAUUAGGUAGUUGGUGAGGUAAAGGCUCACCAAGGCGACGAUACAUAGCCGACCUGGGAGGGUGAACGGCCAAACUGGGACUGGGAAACGGCCCAAACCCCUACGGGAGGCAGGCGUAGGGGAAUUUCGGCAAUGGACGGAAGUCUUGACGAGCAACGCCGGGUGAGUGAAGAAGGUUUUCGGAUCGUAAAGCUCUGUUGUUAGAGAAGCGUUAACUAACCAGAAAGGGACGGCUAACUACGUGCCAGCAGCCGCGGUAAUAC